CCAGAGAAUUUAGCAGAGAUGCUUUAGUGCCUUCGGGAACUCUGAGACAGGUGCUGCAUGGCUGUCGUCAGCUCGUGUUGUGAAAUGUUGGUUAAGUCCCGCAACGAGCGCAACCCCUAUCCUUUGUUGCCAGCGAUUCGGUCGGGAACUCAAAGGAGACUGCCGGUGAUAAACCGGAGGAAGGUGGGGAUGACGUCAAGUCAUCAUGGCCCUUACGAGUAGGGCUACACACGUGCUACAAUGGCGCAUACAAAGAGAAGCGACCUCGCGAGAGCAAGCGGACCUCAUAAAGUGCGUCGUAGUCCGGAUUGGAGUCUGCAACUCGACUCCAUGAAGUCGGAAUCGCUAGUAAUCGUAGAUCAGAAUGCUACGGUGAAUACGUUCCCGGGCCUUGUACACACCGCCCGUCACACCAUGGGAGUGGGUUGCAAAAGAAGUAGAUAGCUUAACCUUCGGGAGGGCGUUUACCACUUUGUGAUUCAUGACUGGGGUGAAGUCGUAACAAGGUAAGCGUAGCGAG
rnacentral:rRNA from 1 species